GAUGAACGCUAGCGGCAGGCUUAAUACAUGCAAGUCGAGGGCCUAGCAAUAGGACCGGCGCACGGGUGCGUAACACGUAUGCAACCUGCCCUGUAUCUGGGGGAUAGCCCGAGGAAACUCGGAUUAAUACCGCAUACCACUGAGGGUUGGCAUCAAUUUUCAGUGAAAGAUUUAUCGGAUACAGAUGGGCAUGCGCAGGAUUAGCUAGUUGGUGUGGUAACGGCACACCAAGGCGACGAUCCUUAGGGGCUCUGAGAGGAGUAACCCCCACACUGGCACUGAGAUACGGGCCAGACUCCUACGGGAGCAGCAGUAGGAAUAUGGGCAAUGGAGGCAACUCUGGACCCAGCCAUGCCGCGUGCAGGAAGACGGCCCUCUGGGUU
rnacentral:rRNA from 1 species